UACAUCGCCGACCUCUUCUGGAAGAGGUGGACGACCGAGUACCUCCCUCAACUGCAAGAGCGGCAGAAGUGGAACAAAGUUCACAGAAACUUCACAGUUGGUGACAUCGUGCUCGUGGUGGAAGAGUCCGCACCCAGAGGUGCGUGGCCCAUUGGGCGCAUCACCGACACCAUGGCAGACUCCAAAGGGUGCGUUCGACGGGUCCGUGUCAAGACACAGACCAACGAGUUGGAAAAGCCCAUCAACAAGAUCUGCCUCCUGGUGGGGGUAGUUUAAGGGGCAACAGUGAAUGUUCGCCUCCAACGGAGUCAUGUUCUUGAACCUCUGACUCUACACAUCUACAGAUGCUCACUUACUGAUUUAGUCCGUGAUGCAAUAGGCGUCACAACCUUUAUGCUGAAAACAUGCACACAGUCCAUAAGCACACAGAACACAUGCACACAGACCAUUGCAUACACUUGAAGCCUUUUUCCCUUUCAAGAAGAAGAAUUUUUGUUGUUUACGGACCGAAAACCAUUUGUAAAUGCUAGAGCUUAUGAACUUUAAUAACAAUGCAAAAAAACCACAAAAAAGAAAAAAAAAAGGAAAGCAAAUAGCAUUGAAUCGUAUGUAAGCUUACAUUUAUCACCGUACUUGUAAUGGCCAUUCACUUGUAUAUAUUGUAUAUAGAUUUGUAAUUACUUGUUGUUCAAGAAUUAGGGGCCGGAAUGUAAUGGCCGUUUCUGUUUUUUGUUAAGCUCACUUCGACCUGUGAUUUGUAUACGCCUACCUAGGCACGGGUGCGGGUGAUUUUAGGUCACGCCCGCCGCUCUAGCAUAGUUGGAAAGUAAUGUCGGGCGGCGUGGCAUGGUUUGGGCGAGAUAAAAAGAUUUUACCACACCUAAUGCAAGCAUUUUGGAUAAUGGAAAUGGAAAACCUUUGUUAGAACUUCAUGCAAAGAAAACCGUUGGAAUAAACCGAACCCUUUUUUGGAAA